rnacentral:rRNA from 1 species
UCGGGAAUAUUGCGCAAUGGAGGAAACUCUGACGCAGUGACGCCGCGUAUGGGAAGAAGGUUUUCGGAUUGUAAACCAUUUUAGACAAGGAAGAAAAAAGACAGUACUUGUAGAAUAAGCUCCGGCUAACUACGUGCCAGCAGCCGCGGUAAUACGUAGGGAGCAAGCGUUAUCCGGAUUUAUUGGGUGUAAAGGGUGCGUAGACGGGAAGGUAAGUUAGUUGUGAAAUCCCUCGGCUCAACUGAGGAACUGCUACUAAAACUGCUUUUUCUUGAGUACUGGAGAGGAAAGUGGAAUUCCUAGUGUAGCGGUGAAAUGCGUAGAUAUUAGGAGGAACACCAGUGGCGAAGGCGACUUUCUGGACAGUAACUGACGUUGAGGCACGAAAGUGUGGGGAGCAAACAGGAUUAGAUACCC